UACGAAGGGUGCAAGCGUUAAUCGGAAUUACUGGGCGUAAAGGGUGCGUAGGCGGUUUGUUAAGUCUGUUGUGAAAUCCCCGGGCUCAACCUGGGAAUGGCAAUGGAUACUGGCAAGCUAGAGUGUGUCAGAGGAUGGUGGAAUUCCCGGUGUAGCGGUGAAAUGCGUAGAGAUCGGGAGGAACAUCAGUGGCGAAGGCGGCCAUCUGGGACAACACUGACGCUGAAGCACGAAAGCGUGGGGGGAGCAAACAGGAUUAGAUACCCUGGUAGUCCACGCCCUAAACGAUGCGAACUGGAUGUUGGUCUCAACUCGGAGAUCAGUGUCGAAGCUAACGCGUUAAGUUCGCCGCCUGGGGAGUACGGUCGCAAGACUGAAACU
rnacentral:rRNA from 1 species